rnacentral:rRNA from 1 species
UACGAAGGGAGCUAGCGUUGUUCGGAAUCACUGGGCGUAAAGCGCACGUAGGCGGAUGUGUCAGUCAGGGGUGAAAUCCCGGAGCUCAACUUCGGAACUGCCCUUGAUACAGCACGUCUUGAGUCCGGAAGAGGUGGGUGGAAUUCCUAGUGUAGAGGUGAAAUGCGCAGAUAUCGGGAAGAACACCCGUGGCGAAGGCGGCUCUCUGGGACGGUACUGACGCUGAGACGCGAAAGCGUGGGGAGCGAACAGG